rnacentral:misc_RNA from 1 species
GAUGAAGAACGUAGCGAAAUGCGAUAAGUAAUGUGAAUUGCAGAAUUCAGUGAAUCAUCGAAUCUUUGAACGCACCUUGCGCCUUUUGGUAUUCCGAAAGGCACACCUGUUUGAGCGUCAUGAAUACCUCAAUCUCCAUCUUUUCUUCGGAUUGAUGGGUGACUUGGAUGUUGAGCCCUGCUGGUAUGCUAUAUCAGCUGGCUUUAAACUUAUUAGCCGGCUCUGUACUGGAUCGGUUUGACUCGACGUGAUAAUAUUAUCGUUGAGGAUGCAUGUCUCAUGCAGCCGGAAAGUAUCAAAGCAGCUUCUAGCUUGCCUUUAGUUCACUUUUACAUUUUAGACCUCAGAUCAGGUGGGACUACCCGCUGAACUUAAGCAUAUCAAUAAGCGGAGGA